rnacentral:rRNA from 1 species
GGUUAAGCGACUAAGCGUACACGGUGGAUGCCCUGGCAGUCAGAGGCGAUGAAGGACGUGCUAAUCUGCGAUAAGCGUCGGUAAGGUGAUAUGAACCGUUAUAACCGGCGAUUUCCGAAUGGGGAAACCCAGUGUGUUUCGACACACUAUCAUUAACUGAAUCCAUAGGUUAAUGAGGCGAACCGGGGGAACUGAAACAUCUAAGUACCCCGAGGAAAAGAAAUCAACCGAGAUUCCCCCAGUAGCGGCGAGCGAACGGGGAGCAGCCCAGAGCCUGAAUCAGUGUGUGUGUUAGUGGAAGCGUCUGGAAAGGCGCGCGAUACAGGGUGACAGCCCCGUACACAAAAAUGCACAUGCUGUGAGCUCGAUGAGUAGGGCGGGACACGUGGUAUCCUGUCUGAAUAUGGGGGGACCAUCCUCCAAGGCUAAAUACUCCUGACUGACCGAUAGUGAACCAGUACCGUGAGGGAAAGGCGAAAAGAACCCCGGCGAGGGGAGUGAAAAAGAACCUGAAACCGUGUACGUACAAGCAGUGGGAGCACGCUUAGGCGUGUGACUGCGUACCUUUUGUAUAAUGGGUCAGCGACUUAUAUUCUGUAGCAAGGUUAACCGAAUAGGGGAGCCGAAGGGAAACCGAGUCUUAACUGGGCGUUAAGUUGCAGGGUAUAGACCCGAAACCCGGUGAUCUAGCCAUGGGCAGGUUGAAGGUUGGGUAACACUAACUGGAGGACCGAACCGACUAAUGUUGAAAAAUUAGCGGAUGACUUGUGGCUGGGGGUGAAAGGCCAAUCAAACCGGGAGAUAGCUGGUUCUCCCCGAAAGCUAUUUAGGUAGCGCCUCGUGAAUUCAUCUCCGGGGGUAGAGCACUGUUUCGGCAAGGGGGUCAUCCCGACUUACCAACCCGAUGCAAACUGCGAAUACCGGAGAAUGUUAUCACGGGAGACACACGGCGGGUGCUAACGUCCGUCGUGAAGAGGGAAACAACCCAGACCGCCAGCUAAGGUCCCAAAGUCAUGGUUAAGUGGGAAACGAUGUGGGAAGGCCCAGACAGCCAGGAUGUUGGCUUAGAAGCAGCCAUCAUUUAAAGAAAGCGUAAUAGCUCACUGGUCGAGUCGGCCUGCGCGGAAGAUGUAACGGGGCUAAACCAUGCACCGAAGCUGCGGCAGCGACGCUUAUGCGUUGUUGGGUAGGGGAGCGUUCUGUAAGCCUGCGAAGGUGUGCUGUGAGGCAUGCUGGAGGUAUCAGAAGUGCGAAUGCUGACAUAAGUAACGAUAAAGCGGGUGAAAAGCCCGCUCGCCGGAAGACCAAGGGUUCCUGUCCAACGUUAAUCGGGGCAGGGUGAGUCGACCCCUAAGGCGAGGCCGAAAGGCGUAGUCGAUGGGAAACAGGUUAAUAUUCCUGUACUUGGUGUUACUGCGAAGGGGGACGGAGAAGGCUAUGUUGGCCGGGCGACGGUUGUCCCGGUUUAAGCGUGUAGGCUGGUUUUCCAGGCAAAUCCGGAAAAUCAAGGCUGAGGUGUGAUGACGAGGUACUACGGUGCUGAAGCAACAAAUGCCCUGCUUCCAGGAAAAGCCUCUAAGCAUCAGGUAACAUCAAAUCGUACCCCAAACCGACACAGGUGGUCAGGUAGAGAAUACCAAGGCGCUUGAGAGAACUCGGGUGAAGGAACUAGGCAAAAUGGUGCCGUAACUUCGGGAGAAGGCACGCUGAUAUGUAGGUGAAGUCCCUCGCGGAUGGAGCUGAAAUCAGUCGAAGAUACCAGCUGGCUGCAACUGUUUAUUAAAAACACAGCACUGUGCAAACACGAAAGUGGACGUAUACGGUGUGACGCCUGCCCGGUGCCGGAAGGUUAAUUGAUGGGGUUAGCCGCAAGGCGAAGCUCUUGAUCGAAGCCCCGGUAAACGGCGGCCGUAACUAUAACGGUCCUAAGGUAGCGAAAUUCCUUGUCGGGUAAGUUCCGACCUGCACGAAUGGCGUAAUGAUGGCCAGGCUGUCUCCACCCGAGACUCAGUGAAAUUGAACUCGCUGUGAAGAUGCAGUGUACCCGCGGCAAGACGGAAAGACCCCGUGAACCUUUACUAUAGCUUGACACUGAACAUUGAGCCUUGAUGUGUAGGAUAGGUGGGAGGCUUUGAAGUGUGGACGCCAGUCUGCAUGGAGCCGACCUUGAAAUACCACCCUUUAAUGUUUGAUGUUCUAACGUUGACCCGUAAUCCGGGUUGCGGACAGUGUCUGGUGGGUAGUUUGACUGGGGCGGUCUCCUCCUAAAGAGUAACGGAGGAGCACGAAGGUUGGCUAAUCCUGGUCGGACAUCAGGAGGUUAGUGCAAUGGCAUAAGCCAGCUUGACUGCGAGCGUGACGGCGCGAGCAGGUGCGAAAGCAGGUCAUAGUGAUCCGGUGGUUCUGAAUGGAAGGGCCAUCGCUCAACGGAUAAAAGGUACUCCGGGGAUAACAGGCUGAUACCGCCCAAGAGUUCAUAUCGACGGCGGUGUUUGGCACCUCGAUGUCGGCUCAUCACAUCCUGGGGCUGAAGUAGGUCCCAAGGGUAUGGCUGUUCGCCAUUUAAAGUGGUACGCGAGCUGGGUUUAGAACGUCGUGAGACAGUUCGGUCCCUAUCUGCCGUGGGCGCUGGAGAACUGAGGGGGCUGCUCCUAGUACGAGAGGACCGGAGUGGACGCAUCACUGGUGUUCGGGUUGUCAUGCCAAUGGCACUGCCCGGUAGCUAAAUGCGGAAGAGAUAAGUGCUGAAAGCAUCUAAGCACGAAACUUGCCCCGAGAUGAGUUCUCCCUGACCCUUUAAGGGUCCUGAAGGAACGUUGAAGACGACGACGUUGAUAGGCCGGGUGUGUAAGCGCAGCGAUGCGUUGAGCUAACCGGUACUAAUGAACCGUGAGGCUUAACCUU